rnacentral:rRNA from 1 species
GAGUUUGAUCCUGGCUCAGAACGAACGCUGGCGGCAGGCCUAACACAUGCAAGUCGAGCGAACCUUCGGGUUAGCGGCGGACGGGUUAGUAACGCGUGGGAACGUGCCCUUCACUAAGGAAUAGCCACUGGAAACGGUGAGUAAUACCUUAUACGCCCUUCGGGGGAAAGAUUUAUCGGUGAAGGAUCGGCCCGCGUCUGAUUAGAUAGUUGGUGGGGUAACGGCCUACCAAGUCGACGAUCAGUAGCUGGUUUUAGAGGAUGAUCAGCAACACUGGGACUGAGACACGGCCCAGACUCCUACGGGAGGCAGCAGUGGGGAAUCUUAGACAAUGGGCGCAAGCCUGAUCUAGCCAUGCCGCGUGAGUGAUGAAGGCCUUAGGGUCGUAAAGCUCUUUCGCCAGGGAUGAUAAUGACAGUACCUGGUAAAGAAACCCCGGCUAACUCCGUGCCAGCAGCCGCGGUAAUACGGAGGGGGUUAGCGUUGUUCGGAAUUACUGGGCGUAAAGCGCACGUAGGCGGACUAUUAAGUCAGAGGUGAAAUCCCGGGGCUCAACCCCGGAACUGCCUUUGAUACUGGUAGUCUUGAGUUCGAGAGAGGUGAGUGGAAUUCCGAGUGUAGAGGUGAAAUUCGUAGAUAUUCGGAGGAACACCAGUGGCGAAGGCGGCUCACUGGCUCGAUACUGACGCUGAGGUGCGAAAGUGUGGGGAGCAAACAGGAUUAGAUACCC